CCUCCUCGUGGUGCACCCUGGGCAACGUGUUAAACACGGCUAAAUAGUCUACAACUUCUGCUGAACCUUAACAAGAAUACCCCAGCUAGUUAUCUUAGUUCUCUGAUCAACUAGAAAGACCGCUAAGUCAAUAAUUUUCAUUUCUCUAUCAGGGAAAAUGACAGAGAUCACAGUGGCAGCGAAGAAGAAAAUGAUGGAUACCAAUAAUACAGCAUAUACAUCUGAAGAUCUUUAAGUCGGGAAGAUUACUAUUCAUCAUGUAAUUCCUGAUUUAGAAGGAAGAACAUCAUUAGAGAGCAUGAAUGAAACGAUCGAGGUUCCUAGAUGAGGUCAGAAGAACGGAAACGACAGCAGAAAAUUUAUAUAAUUGAAAAAAUGGUGCCAACAACGAUGUCUUUCGAGAUAUUCAUUUAUGGUUUCGAGUUCAUCCUGGUGUAUUCGGGCUGAAAUAAACAUCAUGGAUCAUAUGGAUAGGAUGUACUUUUUUCUUAGUUGAAAAUGAUGGUGCUCCUAGUGGCCACUUCUGCAAGGACUUGAAAAUGAGAGGUGACUGCAAAGCAUCAUAAAUACAAACAUAAACACGGUUUAAUACUACACAUCAGCACACUGUCGUCCAGCGGACGAACCGGCAGGGAUAUUAUUAAUUAACUUGAGGGCAGUUAAUGAAGUUUCCUAAUUAAAUUUUGCCAAUGCAGCGCGACGCGGCCCUCUUCCGAAGAGGAGACCUGGAUCAUCUCCUGAAUUUAAUUUUCGGCCUUACGAUGACCUAUGUAGCAUGCAUAGGUACCCAAGGGAUCCACCAUCUUCUGGUUUACAAGGAUAGGUGCUCUAAUACUAGAGGCUUUAGCCAGAUACGACCUGGCACCCAAGCUACGCAAGUCUUCUUCGUGUACAUAUUGCGUGGGACCUCGGGGACGGGAUACGGACACAUUUGAAGAUGAAGAGAAGAUGUACUUCGGUAGAUUAUCGAUCUUAUGAAGCAAUCUAGAGACUGUAUUUUGCUUGUAAAAAAUGAAAUACUGCAAUAUGGUCUGAAAACCCUGGUUUAUCCUCUCAUACCUCAAAUUGUACCAGCUGUAAAAAUUGAUUGUCCUAGCUGAUGAAACAUCUUGAAGUGACCACUUUGUGUUUUAAAUGAAAUGCUACAAUAACAUAUUGACAUUCUUGGCUAACAUCCGAUAUGUUGAUGGAACAGCAGCAGUAGGUUGUCUUGACUUUUUCGCAAAUCUCAAAAUUGAAAGAACUACCAGCAUUCUUCUUAGAGUAUUUAUUUUGCUGCUUCUAGCUGUUGCUUCCCUCCUGCUCCUCCUCAUCGUCAACAGGAUUCAGCAAAAAUUCCUCCUGCUAGUUGUAAACUUUUAUAACAUAUAAUUUACUAAUGUAGGUAAUUUAAAUUUUUAAGUAUGUUUCUAAUAAUAAUAAAUUUUAAAUAGUAUUAUUAAAAAUUGAUAACUAAAAU